GUGCUCGCUUCGGCAGCACAUAUACUAAAAUUGGAACGAUACAGAGAAGAUUAGCAUGGCCCCUGCGUUUAAAGGAACCCGAUAAAGAGGACAGAUUGGACUCUAUA